ensembl:misc_RNA Y_RNA Y RNA
GACUGGUCCAAUUGCAGUGGUGCUUACGACUAAUUCAUCACAACCAGUUAUAGAUUUGUUUCUUCUCCAUUCCCAUUGCUUCACUUGACUAGCCUAAA